AUAAUGAUACUUCUGCGCGCAGCUCCGCGAGAACCGCGGAGGGGUGAAAUUCCCAUGA
ncrna:unclassified sequences pemK RNA